UCCUCUGUCAUUUCUCUUCGGCCUUUUAUGCGUUCACUUCUUGUCUUCUUGAGCUAUCUUCACUCUGUCCCUCCUUUACCCUUCUUUAUAAGCUAGCUUCGAAAUCUACCGCCAAAAACGUCAGCUUCGAAAUCACACGCCAUCAACAGCCAAAGAGCUCAUCCAGAUUAUUGCUCGCUUUUAACUCUGGCUCUCACAAGUCACAUCCCCCUGCAUGAUAAUUGAGUUUCCAAAUCUGAGUUCCUGAUUGAUCGAGAUUUGCACUUUCAGUUGGCACGGUUCGACUUUGAAAGAGACCAUGUAGAACAUCAUGUUAUAUAUACGUAGGUAAUAACCUCUGAAAACAAGAGUAAGGUAUAGCAGCAUCUCUGUCUAUAGGUCUUCCAUCGCAACUAGCGAGGCUCAUAUCAAAUAACAAUGCCUUCAAUUUCUUUUACUGGCAUUUGUUAGGACGAC